rnacentral:tRNA from 1 species
GGGCGAUUAGCUCAGUGGGAGAGCACCGCCCUUACAAGGCGGGGGUCACUGGUUCAAAUCCAGUAUCGCCCACCA